rnacentral:rRNA from 1 species
UACGUAGGUGGCAAGCGUUAUCCGGAAUUAUUGGGCGUAAAGCGCGCGCAGGUGGUUUCUUAAGUCUGAUGUGAAAGCCCACGGCUCAACCGUGGAGGGUCAUUGGAAACUGGGAAACUUGAGUGCAGAAGAGGAAAGUGGAAUUCCACGUGUAGCGGUGAAAUGCGUAGAGAUGUGGAGGAACACCAGUGGCGAAGGCGACUUUCUGGGCUGCAACUGACACUGAGGCGCGAAAGCGUGGGGAGCAAACAGG